rnacentral:hammerhead_ribozyme from 1 species
AUCCAGAUGAUGAGUCCUAAAUAGGACGAAAUCCGCAUCCUGGAU